CACGUAGGGGGCAAGCGUUGUUCGGAAUUACUGGGCGUAAAGCGCGCGUAGGCGGCUUUGUAAGUUAGAGGUGAAAGCCCGGAGCUCAACUCCGGAACUGCCUUUAAAACUGCAUCGCUUGAAUCCAGGAGAGGUGAGUGGAAUUCCGAGUGUAGAGGUGAAAUUCGUAGAUAUUCGGAAGAACACCAGUGGCGAAGGCGGCUCACUGGACUGGUAUUGACGCUGAGGUGCGAAAGCGUGGGGAGCGAUCCGG
rnacentral:rRNA from 1 species